UUGUGCUGUUUAACUGUAUCAGAGUAGAUAACGAUGUGAUCCAAGUACACAAAACAGCCUUUGCCCUGUAGGUCUACUUCCAUCAGCCGUUGGAAAGUAACCGGAGCAUUUUUAAGUCCAAAUGGCAUUACCUUGAAUGGUAGAGGCCACACCGAACCUGCCACUGAGGACUGAGGACUACUUCAAAGAGCUAUGGGAGACUGCGCUAACUCCCUCCAUCUCCCACUAUUCCAGAAAAUCUGUUUGAGUCCCCCCCACCCCCAGAGAUUUCCACCAAAGACAGUGUUACUCCCUCCACUGUCCCUGUUACAACAGCUCCAGCUUGGCUUUCUCCAGCUCGGCUUUCAGAAAUCUGGCACGGCCAAGUCUGUCAGAUCCACUUAUCCCGACCUUCUCAACAAGCUGCAUUGCCAACUGGCAAAGACCAGCUCGGUUGAAGUGCCAGUGAGGAAGGAGCUUCCUGUAGGGGCCCAGCUCUCCCCAGACUGCAGCGGACCCCCUGCCCGCCCCACGGACUCUGCUGCAGCAGCAGCCCCAACAGCCAGACCAGCCCCUCCAGCAUCAACUUUCCCCAGAUUCCUCUGAUCUGGCUGCAACCAUGUGAGGGUCGCUGGACCCACAGCUGUUUGACCUCAUCGCCGCCCACCAAAGUGCUGCCGCCUCCUCUUCCUCCUCCACCAUUGCGCCCCUGAUGGACACCACCCCGUCGCUGGGUUAGGGUGGUCUGAAAUGCUUUUCCAGAAGAAGAACUGUCUUAUGGAAGAGAGGAGGGGGGGGCUGUCCAUGGUGCUGAAAAUGGAGGUGGUCUUCUCCAGAAGAAGCACCUGGCCAUGCU